rnacentral:rRNA from 1 species
GCGAUCAUACCAGCACUAAUGAACCGGAUCCCAUCAGAACUCCGCAGUUAAACGUGUUCGGGCGAGAGUAGUACUAGGAUGGGUGACCUCCUGGGAAGUCCUCGUGUUGCACCCC